UGCAAGUCGAACGAUGAUGCCCAGCUUGCUGGGUGGAUUAGUGGCGAACGGGUGAGUAACACGUGAGUAACCUGCCCCUGACUCUGGGAUAAGCGUUGGAAACGACGUCUAAUACUGGAUAUGAUCACUGGCCGCAUGGUCUGGUGGUGGAAAGAUUUUUUGGUUGGGGAUGGACUCGCGGCCUAUCAGCUUGUUGGUGAGGUAAUGGCUCACCAAGGCGACGACGGGUAGCCGGCCUGAGAGGGUGACCGGCCACACUGGGACUGAGACACGGCCCAGACUCCUACGGGAGGCAGCAGUGGGGAAUAUUGCACAAUGGGCGAAAGCCUGAUGCAGCAACGCCGCGUGAGGGAUGACGGCCUUCGGGUUGUAAACCUCUUUUAGUAGGGAAGAAGCGAAAGUGACGGUACCUGCAGAAAAAGCACCGGCUAACUACGUGCCAGCAGCCGCGGUAAUACGUAGGGUGCAAGCGUUGUCCGGAAUUAUUGGGCGUAAAGAGCUCGUAGGCGGUUUGUCGCGUCUGCUGUGAAAUCCCGAGGCUCAACCUCGGGCUUGCAGUGGGUACGGGCAGACUAGAGUGCGGUAGGGGAGAUUGGAAUUCCUGGUGUAGCGGUGGAAUGCGCAGAUAUCAGGAGGAACACCGAUGGCGAAGGCAGAUCUCUGGGCCGUAACUGACGCUGAGGAGCGAAAGCAUGGGGAGCGAACAGGAUUAGAUACCCUGGUAGUCCAUGCCGUAAACGUUGGGCGCUAGAUGUAGGGACCUUUCCACGGUUUCUGUGUCGUAGCUAACGCAUUAAGCGCCCCGCCUGGGGAGUACGGCCGCAAGGCUAAAACUCAAAGGAAUUGACGGGGGCCCGCACAAGCGGCGGAGCAUGCGGAUUAAUUCGAUGCAACGCGAAGAACCUUACCAAGGCUUGACAUACACCGGAAACGGCCAGAGAUGGUCGCCCCCUUGUGGUCGGUGUACAGGUGGUGCAUGGUUGUCGUCAGCUCGUGUCGUGAGAUGUUGGGUUAAGUCCCGCAACGAGCGCAACCCUCGUUCUAUGUUGCCAGCGGGUUAUGCCGGGGACUCAUAGGAGACUGCCGGGGUCAACUCGGAGGAAGGUGGGGAUGACGUCAAAUCAUCAUGCCCCUUAUGUCUUGGGCUUCACGCAUGCUACAAUGGCCGGUACAAAGGGCUGCGAUACCGUAAGGUGGAGCGAAUCCCAAAAAGCCGGUCUCAGUUCGGAUUGAGGUCUGCAACUCGACCUCAUGAAGUCGGAGUCGCUAGUAAUCGCAGAUCAGCAACGCUGCGGUGAAUACGUUCCCGGGCCUUGUACACACCGCCCGUCAAGUCAUGAAAGUCGGUAACACCCGAAGCCGGUGGCCUAACCCUUGUGGAAGGAGCCGUCG
rnacentral:rRNA from 1 species